CGAGCGAGAGCGUGCAAGUCCGGGACCCGAAAAGAUGGUGAACUAUGCCUGAGGAGGUUGAAGCCAGAGGAAACUCUGGUGGAGGACCGUAGCGAUUCUGACGUGCAUAUCGAUCGUCAAAUUUGGGUAUAGGGGCGAAAGACUAAUCGAACCGUCUAGUAGCUGGUUCCCUUCGAAGUUUCCCUCAGGAUAGCUGGCGCUCUGUCGCAGUUUUAUCUGGUAAAGCGAAUGAUUAGAGGUCUUGGGGGCGAAACGCCCUCAACCUAUUCUCAAACUUUAAAUUGGUAAGAAGCCCGACUCGCUCGUUUGGAGCCGGGCAUGGAAUGCGAGUGCCAAGUGGGCCACUCUUGGUAAGCAGGACUGGCGAUGCGGGAUGAACCGAACGCCGGGUUAAGGCGCCCGACGCGACGCUCAUCAGAGCCCACAAAAGGUGUUGGUUGAUAUAGACAGCAGGACGGUGGCCAUGGAAGUCGGAAACCGCUAAGGAGUGUGUAACAACUCACCUGCCGAAUCAAUCAGCCCUGAAAAUGGAUGGCGCUGGAGCGUCGGGCCUAUACCCGGCCGUCGCGGCGGUACGAGCAUCGAGUUGGUGCGCUAGGCCGCGACGAGUAGGAGGGCCGCGGCGGCGGGCGUAGAAGCCUAGGGCGCGAGCCCGGGUGAAUUUCCACCACAGGGC
rnacentral:ncRNA from 1 species